rnacentral:rRNA from 1 species
UAGAUGGAUCCGCGCCGUAUUAGCUAGUUGGUAAGGUAACGGCUUACCAAGGCAACGAUACGUAGCCGACCUGAGAGGGUGAUCGGCCACACUGGAACUGAGACACGGUCCAGACUCCUACGGGAGGCAGCAGUAGGGAAUCUUCCGCAAUGGGCGAAAGCCUGACGGAGCAACGCCGCGUGAGUGAUGAAGGUCUUCGGAUCGUAAAACUCUGUUAUCAGGGAAGAACAAAUGUGUAAGUAACUGUGCACAUCUUGACGGUACCUGAUCAGAAAGCCACGGCUAACUACGUGCCAGCAGCCGCGGUAAUACGUAGGUGGCAAGCGUUAUCCGGAAUUAUUGGGCGUAAAGCGCGCGUAGGCGGUUUUUUAAGUCUGAUGUGAAAGCCCACGGCUCAACCGUGGAGGGUCAUUGGAAACUGGAAAACUUGAGUGCAGAAGAGGAAAGUGGAAUUCCAUGUGUAGCGGUGAAAUGCGCAGAGAUAUGGAGGAACACCAGUGGCGAAGGCGACUUUCUGGUCUGUAACUGACGCUGAUGUGCGAAAGCGUGGGGAUCAAACAGGAUUAGAUACCCUGGUAGUCCA